AGACGGAUUGAGGGGUGGCUGCUUCUUCUAGUGGCCGCACCCUUCUUGUUGGUCGCAGCGCUUGCAGGGGAUGGACGGCCCGGCAUCCUGGCACAACGGACGUGUAAACGGGUGGGGUUCUCAUCCGGACCGCACCCUUCCUGGACCCACGAGGACACCAGUGUGCAUGCAGGGGGAAGAGACCGGUUUCCCGAGGAGAGUCGCCUUGGGCUUUUAAACAGAGGCAGUGAUGAGGCUCCAUUUCCUUCAGGAAAACUUAUUCUGGAACAACAGUGUGUGCUGUGAGAUGAGAACAGAGACACACUGAGCUUUAACCACUAACCAUCGACCAACUGCUGACUGAUGAGGAAACAUCAUUAGCUUCUGAGAGACAAAGACAAACUGAACCACAGUGAUCUGAACUGAAGACAGCGACUGUAACACAUUUCAGUUUCAUUCAGCAACAUGAACGGUGAAAAUCAGACCUUGGUGGAUGAAUACAGUGAUCAUCCUACGGAUAAUUAUGACAACAGUGUCCCUAAUGAUUCAGAUAUCAGAAGAAUUAUCUUCUUCAUCACUAGUGUUUGUGUGGGUUUUCCAGCUCUGGUUUGGGCUUUUCGUCUUCUGCACCUGCAUAGAAAGAUCAGAGGCCGAAUCUCAGUCUUCAUCCUCCUCCUCCUCCUCAAUGACCUGAUACAAUUACCCCUUCAUCUAUAUAUACUGGCAGGUAUACUGACAAGAUUUAGAUCCUUUAUCAUUCCGCUUGGUCAGUUUUGGUCAGGAUUACAUUGGUGUGGUUUUCAUCUGCAUCAGCUGGUGGCUCUGGAGGGGAUUUUGACUCUGAAAUAUCCGCUUUGGUCUGCUCGUAUUUUCUCACUGCCCUCUUACAUCAUAAUCUCCAUCCUUGUGCUUUUUUUUUCUAUAGUUAGUGCAUUAUUUCGUUCCCUGCAUUCACAAAAUACAAACAUGUCAUUAUUCAGUCUCAGCACAAGUGUUGUUCCUCUGAUCGUAUUGUCUGUAUCAUCUAUAAUCAGCUGUAAAGCCUCUUCCACUCCUGUCA